CCUACGGGAGGCAGCAGUGGGGAAUAUUGGGCAAUGGGCGCAAGCCUGACCCAGCAACGCCGCGUGAAGGAAGAAGGCUUUCGGGUUGUAAACUUCUUUUAAGAGGGAAGAGCAGAGGACGGUACCUCUAGAAUAAACCCCGGCUAACUACGUGCCAGCAGCCGCGGUAAUACGUAGGUGGCCAGCGUUGUCCGGAUUUAAUGGGUGUAAAGGGCGUGUAGCCGGGCUGACAAGUCAGAUGUGAAAUUCCGGGGCUCAACCCCGGACCUGCAUUUGAAACUGUUUGUCUUGAGUGUUGGAGAGGCAGGCGGAAGUCCGAGUGUAGCGGUGAAAUGCGUAGAUAUUAGGAGGAACACCAGUGGCGAAGGCGGCCUGCUGGACGACAACUGACGGUGAGGCGCGAAAGCGUGGGGAGCAAACAGGAUUAGAUACCCCUGUAGUC
rnacentral:rRNA from 1 species